rnacentral:lncRNA from 1 species
UGAUAUUUUUUUAAAGAAUUUUCUCUUUCCUGCUUAUUUUUAAUUCAUUUUAAAUAGUUUUUGAUAUUCAAAAAAUACAAAAAUAUUUUUCCAACCUCUUUGAAUGAUGAUAGAUCUAUGAAAAAUAUUCUCAUCAAUUUAUUAAUUGAUUUGAGAUUUAUUUGAGAUUUUAAUUCAAUUAGGUUAUUUUUAUUCAUUUUUAAUUGAUUAAAAAUAGUUUCUGACUUCUAAAAAU